UUCUGGGCCGCACGCGCGCUACACUGACAGGGGAAGCGAGUUCCUCCUUGGCCGGAAGGCCCGGGUAAUCUUGUGAAACCCUGUCGUGCUGGGGAUAGAGCAUUGCAAUUAUUGCUCUUGAACGAGGAAUCCCUAGUAAUCGCAAGUCAUCAGCUUGCGUUGAUUACGUCCCUGCCCUUUGUACACACCGCCCGUCGCUACUACCGAUUGAAUGACUCAGUGAGGCGUCCGGACUGGCCUAGAGAGGUGGGCAACUACCACUCAGGGCCGGAAAGUUCUCCAAACUCGGUUAUUUAGAGGAAGUAAAAGUCGUAACAAGGUCUCCGUUGGUGAACCAGCGGAGGGAUCAUUAUAGAGUUUCUACUCUUCUACCCAUGUGAACUUACCUUACUAUCCUCCGGCGGAACGCCCCGGUGCCUUCGGGCCCGGACCAGGCGCCCGCCGGGGAACAAACAAACUGUAUUUGUCUCCUGUAUACCUCAGAAACUGGCGUAAAGCCGAAAUGUAACAACUUUUGACAAUGGAUCUCUUGGCACUGGCAUCGAUGAAGAACGCAGCGAAAUGCGAUAAGUAAUGUGAAUUGCAGAGCACAGUGAAUCAUCGAAUCUUUGAACGCACAUGGCGCCCGCCGGUAAUCCGGCGGGCAUGCCUGUCCGAGCGUCAUUUCAACCCUCAGAACCCCUCUCUCGGGAGGGCGUUACUGGUGUUUGGGAAAGAAAGCCCCCCCGGGCGCCCGUCCUUAAAUUAUUGGGGGCUCCGGAGUCUGUCUCCCUGCGUAGUAUUGCAUCUCCUUUGGUGAAUUCCCGGGUGGUGGGGCUUUGCCGCGAAACCCCCCUAGGUUGACUCGGAUCAGGGAGGGGAACCCCUGAACUUAACCUUUCAUAACGGAGGAAAAAAACCAACGGGGAUUGCUC
rnacentral:rRNA from 1 species